GAUGAACGCUAGCGGCAGGCUUAACACAUGCAAGUCGAGGGGCAGCGCGGGAUAGCAAUAUCCUGGCGGCGACCGGCGGAAGGGUGCGUAACGCGUGAGCGACAUGCCCGUUGCCCGGGGACAACCGGUGGAAACGCCGACUAAUCCCCGAUGGGAUAUUGUGCCGCAUGGCACGAUAUUGAAAGUUACGGCGGCGACGGAUUGGCUCGCGUCCGAUUAGCUUGUUGGCGGGGUAACGGCCCACCAAGGCUGCGAUCGGUAGGGGUUCUGAGAGGAAGGCCCCCAAAAAUGGGACUGAGACACGGCCCAUACUACUACGGGAGGCAGCAGGGAGGAAUAUUGGUCAAUGGGCGGAAGCCUGAACCAGCCAUGCCGCGUGCGGGAAGGAGGCCCUAUGGGCUGUGAACCGCUUUUGCCUGGGGGCAAUAAGGGCGUCGCGCACGUCAGAUGAGAGUACCAGGCGAAUAAGCAUCGGCUAACUCCGUG
rnacentral:rRNA from 1 species